GUACCCUCAAGCUUUGCUUGGUGUUGGGCGUCUUGUCUCUAGCUUUGCUGGAGACUCGCCUUAAAGUAAUUGGCAGCCGGCCUACUGGUUUCGGAGCGCAGCACAAGUCGCACUCUCUAUCAGCAAAGGUCUAGCAUCCACUAAGCCUUUUUUUCAAC
rnacentral:misc_RNA from 2 species